rnacentral:rRNA from 1 species
AUUGAACGCUGGCGGCAGGCUUAACACAUGCAAGUCGAGCGAGCGGCGGACGGGUGAGUAAUGUCUGGGAAACUGCCCGAUGGAGGGGGAUAACUACUGGAAACGGUGGCUACUACCGCAUACCAUCAGAUGUGCCCAGAUGGGAUUAGCUAGUAGGGUGGGUACAGGCUCACCUAGGCGACGAUCCCUAGCUGGUCCGAGAGGAUGACCAGCCACACUGAGACUGAGACACGGUCCAGACUCCUACGCGAGGCAGCAGUGGGGAAGAUUGCACAAGGGGCGCAAGCCUGAUGCAGCCAUGCCGCGUGUGUGAAGAAGGCCUUCGAGUUGUAAAGCACUUUCAGCGGGGAGGCGUUACUCGCAGAAGAAGCACCGGCUAACUCCGUGCCAGCAGGCGGGGUAAUAC